GAUGAACGCUAGCGGCAGGCCUAAUACAUGCAAGUCGGACGGGAUUCAGGAGCUUGCUUCUGAUGAGAGUGGCGCACGGGUGCGUAACACGUAUGUACCCUACCUUUAUCAGGGGGAUAGCCUCUCGAAAGAGAGAUUAAGCCCGCCUAAAAUCCCAGCACAGCAUUGUGUAAUGAUCAAAUAUUUAUAGGAUUAAGAUGGGCAUGCGGAACAUUAGCUAGAUGGCGGGGUAACGGCCCACCAUGGCGACGAUGUUUAGGGGAUCUGAGAGGAUGGCCCCCCACACUGGUACUGAGACACGGACCAGACUCCUACGGGAGGGAGCAGUAAGGAAUAUUGGGAAAUGGGCGGAAGCCUGAACCAGCCAUGCCGCGGGCAGGAAGACGGCCCUACGGGUUGGAAACUGCUUUUAUACGGGAAUAAACACAGAUACGUGUAGCCGGCUGAAUGUACUGGAAGAAUAAGGAUCGGCUAACUACGUG
rnacentral:rRNA from 1 species